UACGAACUGUGCAAACGUUAUUCGGAUUCACUGGGCUUAAAGGGUGCGUAGGCGGCCAUGUAAGUAGGGUGUGAAAUCCCCCGGCUUAACCGGGGAACUGCGCCCUAAACUGACGAGCUGGAGUGGGACAGGGGUGUGUGGAACUUCCGGUGGAGCGGUGAAAUGUGUUGAUAUCGGAAGGAACGCCGGUGGCGAAAGCGACACACUGGGUCUCAACUGACGCUGAGGCACGAAAGCCAGGGGAGCGAACGGGG
rnacentral:rRNA from 1 species